GGGGCUGUAGCUCAGUUGGUAGAGCGCUUCCAUGGCAUGGAAGAGGUCAGGGGUUCGAUUCCCCUCAGCUCCA
rnacentral:tRNA from 2 species